rnacentral:rRNA from 1 species
GAUGAACGCUGGCGGCGCGCCUAACACAUGCAAGUCGAACGAUUAAAGCACCUUCGGGUGUGUAUAAAGUGGCGAACGGCUGAGUAACACGUGGGCAACCUGCCCCUUUCAUUGGGAUAGCCACGGGAAACCGUGGAUAAUACCGAAUACUUCGAGACUUCCGCAUGGAAGACUCGAGAAAGCUCCGGCGGAGAGGGAUGGGCCCGCGGCCUGUUAGCUUGUUGGUGGGGUAACGGCCUACCAAGGCAAUGAUGGGUAGCUGGGUUGAGAGACCGACCAGCCAGAUUGGGACUGAGACACGGCCCAGACUCCUACGGGAGGCAGCAGUGGGGAAUCUUGCACAAUGGGCGAAAGCCUGAUGCAGCGACGCCGCGUGCGGGAGGAAGGCCUUCGGGUUGUAAACCGCUUUCAGCAGGGACGAGGCGAAAGGGACGGUACCUGCAGAAGAAACCCCGGCUAACUACGU